AGAAUCAACGCUGGCGGCGUGCCUAACACAUGCAAGUCGAACGAGAAAGUGGGAGCAAUCCCACGAGUAAAGUGGCGCACGGGUGAGUAACACGUGACUAACCUACCCUUGAGUGGGGGAUAACCUAGGGAAACCUGGCUAAUACCGCAUAAUACCUACGGGUCAAAGGAGCAAUUCGCUUUAGGAGGGGGUCGCGGCAGAUUAGUUAGUUGGCGGGGUAAUGGCCCACCAAGACAGUGAUCUGUA
rnacentral:rRNA from 1 species